rnacentral:misc_RNA from 1 species
CACCACUGCUCAGUCACCCAGCGGACAUAGCGGCGCACGGACCUGCCGCACCGCCCAGUUGCCGCUCAGUCCACCACUGGCACCCGACCCAGGCGGCGGCACACAGCGGCGGCUCUAACGCUGCCACCGCUUAGUGUCAUCCCCACACCUGGCCCAAGACUCACCUGUGCUGACCUGCGGACACCUAUUUCACGGGAUACUUUUAAUCAAUUGGUGAUGAAUAAUGAUGUAAGAGAAUCUACCGUGUAGGUGAAGAAUUUGGGGGAUUUUGACCCCAACUCGACUUGGUUUUUGUUGUGAAAAGUGAAGCAAAGAAAUUGAAAAAGUUACCUUCAGGAGAGAGAGAUAAAGAAGGUGGUGAAGGUGUGUGGUGGUGUUGAGGGAGGUGGUGAGGGCAUGAUACUGAGGAGGGCCAGGACACACCAGCCACCUCCUGUAUGAAACUCCGCAGUCCUGACUCGGAUAAGAUGGAAGUGUUGUACCCGGGCAAUCUGGCUCUGCUGAGCAUGUUCCUCAAGAAUCCAGAGACCGACAAAGGCGAGAUCAAGAAGGACGAAGGAAAGAAAGGUGACGGCCCAGGCGAGUGUGCCGACGUGUUGACGUGUGGGGUGUGUCAGAAGGACUUCCUGCUGGCGGACAUCCUACGCUUCAUCCAGCACAAGGUUCACAACUGCCAGGCCCCCACCGCGCCCUGUGGCCAAGACGCGUCCUCGGGUGACCAGGACGCCCCCACCAGCGCCCCGCCUAACCCAAGAGACCACAAUGGCGACGUGGGCUCCGAGGGCCUCUCUAACCCGGCCAGUCCCGCCACCGUCAAGGAGGAAGGGGACGACAGCAAGGCCGACGAGAAGCGCAAGAGAGACGACGAAGACGACGCCCCUGCUAGGAAAAAACCUCGCAGCACGCAAGACGCCGAGGCUAACACGACAGACUCCGAACCUGCGCGGUACGUGUGUGGUACGUGUGGUGCCGUGCUGGGGUCAGCCUGGUCCCUGGUGCAACACGUCCAGUCUUCGCACGGCAUCAUCAUCUACCAGGAGACAUCGAUAGGCAUUCCCAUCUCCACGCCCUCCACGCCUCCGGGUCUACCCAGGCCCUCCCACUCUUCCCCGCUAGCCUCUGUGUCCUCCACGGCCACCACGGCCUCGGGGCCUCACCUACCGCCCCUCCAGCUACUCGACCCCUCCAAGGUUGACCUCACCAAAGUUGACAUAACGAAGGUGGACUUGUCGAAGGUGGAUCUGAGCAAGAUCUCAACACCAGUAUCGUCAGGCACGACGCCCCUGCCGCCCCACCCGCCCGUGACGGCGCCCCUGCUGGACCCUAACCACCCCUUCAACCUACUUCGGGUGCCUCUAGGGGACGCCCGGGCUCCCUUUCCGCCAGGUCUCGCCCCGCCCUUCAUGCGGCCAGGCCACGACUUCCGUAUGGACCAGCUCCUGCAGGAGGGACUGCGCCUCAACCCUGGUCUUCUCCCGCCUCCCUUCGAACGGCCGCCCUUUCUUGACCCCGGGCUGGGCGCACCCCGCCAUGCGGCGCCCACGCCCCUAAGUUCAGGCGGUGAUCCCAACCUUGACUUCUACUCCCAGCGGCUACGGCAGCUGGCAGGCACCACCAGUCCCACCAGCUCCACCUCGCCUCGCAAGCCUCUCCCAACACCACCUUUCGCCUCACCUAAUGCUCCUACUCCCUCCAGCUUAGCGCCCUCCCAGACACCUACCUCCACCCGAACUGACCCGGCCAUGAUGGUUCCCGAGCGUCGCUUCAAGUGCAUGACUUGCUGCAAGUGCUUCCGGUGGGAGAGCAACUUGGCCAUCCACCAGAGGCUUCACACAGGCGAGAAGGACUACCGCUGCCCAAAGUGUCAUGAAACAUUACCCACACCACAAAAAUUACGCUUGCAUAUGAAAGCACACAAGAAGAGUUCAAGCACGGAAAGCGCUUCCCCAGACUCCUCACGCCCUCAGACUGAGGACGAUAAUGAUGAGGAAGAGGAGGAAGAGGAAGAAGAAGAGGAGGAAGAAAUUGACGAAGACGACGAUAACCCUUCCAUUUGUGAUAGUGGGGACGAAGAAGAAGAAGAUAUUGCAGAAGAAGACAUGGACGACGAUGAACCUGAAGACCUCUCCACUACCUCCAAGAGUACCCCGGUGCCCACCUCUCAGAGCGUCUCCUCCAGCACGGCAGACAACCACAAACUCUCGAGGGGAGACCAACAAAAAUCCGUCGUAGGCGAACUUAUGGAUAAGUUUGGUUUAGCGAACAUCUCCGCUUACAGCGAGGCUUACCACCAGGCACUAAAAGAAUCUGGUCGUCUUACUCACCAUCCUAUGGGGAAGGACGGCGAGAAGGUCCGCACUAAUGGCAUCGAAAAACUGAAGCUACGAGACGAUCUGACAAAGGGGUUGAUGGGUACUCAUCCUGCUCUCGAUGUGGCUCACCAGACACUCCUGGGAGCCUUCGAUAAUCCAUACGAUGCCCAGAAGCGUUUAGUCCAAGCUCAGAGGGACGGAAGCCUGUACGCUGGACUCUGGCUCCCAAACCUGGCAGGGACAGGAGGUUCACCCAAAGACUUAUUCCCCGGGAUGCCGACGGCGGAAGCGAACUUUUUACACAGGAAACUACUGACGGAGGGUUCCUUAAAGCCAGGCGAUAUCCCUGGGUCUCUGCCGAAACCCGGCACGAGUUCGGCGCCGGGGACGCCUAUUUCCCUCGUCCCACCACCAAAGAAAGAGAGCCGAAGGAACGACACAUGUGAAUACUGUGGCAAAGUGUUCAAAAACUGCUCGAACCUAACAGUUCACCGACGCUCUCACACGGGAGAGAAGCCCUACAAGUGCGACCUGUGUAGUUACGCAUGCGCCCAAAGUUCAAAGCUAACGCGGCACAUGAAGACGCAUGGCCGCAUGGGCAAGGAUGUGUACCGCUGUCGGUUCUGCGAUAUGCCAUUUAGUGUCGCCUCCACCUUAGAAAAACAUAUGCGUAAAUGUGUUGUGAAUCAAAAUAAGAAAGGGUUGUUCCCCCCACUAUCUGCUGGGGCUCACGAGGGGCUCGACUCCUACAAGGGUCUGCACUUCACACCUGUCAUCAGCGACGACUCUUCUAAAUCUGGUAGUCUCUUCUCCCCUCACUUCAACGCCGCCGCCGCCGCCAACACCUCCAACGAUGAUACAGGAGACUCCUCAAAUUUGUCGGGCCCCGGGUCUUGAGAUUGGGCCCCCUUGGUUGCGUCCCAACUGCCGCCGCCAGGGACCCAAGGGCUCGCCCCCCCAUCCAUGGGGUUUCCCAGGGCAGCCACCCACCAUUGGGUGGCGUCUAGCCGCCCACCGCCCCCGCUCUUGCUUAGGGGGAUGUCUGGCCCCCUGGCUCCAACGGCGCCACCCUGGACGUCGCCCGUAGCGCCGCGGCCCCCAGGGACGCCGCCCCGAGCCCCAGCGCCGCCCACCUGACCAGUGGCGGCGGCAGCAGCGGCAGGGCGGGUGGCGUAGCCCGCACAUUCCCACACCUCGCGUCACGUGACUUCCCAGUGAGCGGCGCCCGUCCCGCCCCACGCGGCAGUGGGCGCCUCAACAAGCUAGUCCUGUGUGUUGUGCGAGGGUGACAGCAGCAGCAGCAGCAGCACGCCCACACUCGGCCAUUGUUCCUAUUGAUGUUAUGUGUUGUGUAGUGUACAGUAUGUUGUCCUACCUUGACUGGUCACAACAGUGGGGGCCGGUGUACCAGCCACUGCAGUGCCAGUGCCACUAACAGCUGACCCGUACAGUGCCACUAACAGCUGACCCGCACAGUGCCACCAACAGCUGACCCGCACAGUGCCACUAACAGCUGAGAACAACACAACAACCACGAGGAGCCAAAAAGAAAGAAAAUAAAUUCUAUCUCCAAAAGUUAACUAAACGACCCACGACAUAAUAAUUGAAAGUUAUUUGACGUUACUAAGUUAUUAGUCAAUCAUCAGUUAAUUCCUAAGUGCAGCCUUUUGCUCAACACUUGUGUGAGGCGUCGGAAGACCUGCCUCCACCAGAUCACCCCCCCCCCCCGGCAGGAGAACACCCAAACCAGAUGAUCUCUCCCAGAUGUGUUAUUUCUUUACCCAGAUAAUAAACAUUUUGAGUUGUGUCUUAUAGGCGGGUCCGGCAUAGUGUGUUGAUUUGUAAUGCAUUAGUCAGAGAGAGAGAGAGAGAGAGAUAAUGAAAGGUAUUUGGUGCAAAGAUGGCUAGCCCUUCACCUCAGGGACAUCCGAACUGUCUAUGUGGGUGGCUGCCGACUUUCAAUGAUAAUAAUAAUAAUAAUAAUAAUAAUAAUAAUCAAACUGUGUGUUCUAAGCUACAGGUGUAGAGACAACAUCUUCAGAGAACGUUCACAUGUGUACGGUUCCUUGAUCAGUAGUCUACAGGUUUGGUUUAUUUUUCUCAGUGGUAUUGAGUUCAGGGUAGAGGAGGUUCCUUCCAGUGAUUAUUAACUUGUGUUUACUUAAUUUCUAAAACACAUUUAUUCGAUUUUUUAUUUUUUUUAUUAUUAUUAUUAUUGUUGUUAUGCAUUAAGAUUUAGUGAAUUUAUUGUAAUGUUCUGGAAUAUGAAUUUAAUAGGAACUGAUACUAGAAUUUUAUUGAAGAAUAUCACAAGAGACUCAUAACACACACACACACACACACACACACACACACACACACACACACACACACACACACACACACACACACACACACACACACACACACAUCACCGCUGUUCGAACAUGAUCACCGAACACAGUGGCACCAUCCGAACACUCCUACAAGUCCACCUCAACUAAAUCGGAUCUGUGUACCGGACUCAUCAACCGGACUCAUCUAUACCAUCGAGUUCGGAUAAACGGUUCACAUCUCUCACUCAACCAGAUAUUAUCCGGUUUUAGGAAUUCUGUAAACAACAACACCUAUUGCUUUUGUUUUUGUUAUUCUUGUUUAUGUUGACUUCUCCUGUUAUGUUGUUGUUUGAGAGAGACUGAGUGAGCUAAAUGUAAUCAAAAAGACUCAGUAAUGGUUGACAUGCGAGUGUUAUUAGUACCAAAAAACCGACCUUAAGCUAGGUGUUGCUUAUGACCUUCUUGUCCCGAAUGACCCCCGUUUUCUCAGGAGAUACCGACCAAUAGGAGGGUGAGGUUGAGGGCUAGGUGGUGAGGCCUUGCUAGGUGGUGAAGCCUUGCUAGGUGGUGAAGCCUUGCUAGGUGGUGAAGCCUUUCUAGGUGGCGAGGCCUUGCUAGGUGGUGAAGCCUUUCUAGGUGGUGAGGUUUUGCUAGGUGGUGAGGUCUUGCUAGGUGGUGAAGCCUUGCUAGGUGGUGAUGCCUUUCUAGGUGGUGAGGUUUUGCUAGGUGGUGAGGCCUUGCUAGGUGGUGAGGCCUUGCUAGGUGGUGAGGCCUUGCUAGGCGGUGAGGUUUUGCUAGGUGGUGAGGUCUUGCUAGGUGGUGAGGUUUUGCUAGGUGGUGAGGUCUUGCUAGGUGGUGAGGUCUUGCUAGGUGGUGAGGCCUUGCUAGGUGGUGAGGCCUUGCUAGGUGGUGAGGCCUUGCUAGGUGGCUCAAUCAACGUUUAAACUUUCCACGAGCUAGUUUCGGGAUUAAUUUAUCCCUAUUUAAACGUUUGUAGUCUUGUAAAGUUAUUUUAGUGGCUCUUUAAACCUUUUAUUCAUACUAAUUUGUUGUGUUGACUUCAAACAUUUCGAGUCCAUAAAAGAAAUUAGUUUAUUUACUUGUUUUGUUUCAUAAUGUAGGCGCUGAGAGACACCCACUAGCACAGAGUUCUUAGAGCCACUCACUCGCACAAAGUCCUUAGAGCCACUCACAGCACAGAGUCCUUAGAGCUAUCACUAGCAGAAAGCCCUUAGAGCCACCCACUAGCACAGUUCUUAGAGCCACCCACUAGCACAGAGUCCUUAGACCCACCCACUAGCACAGAGUCCUUAGGCCCACCCACUAGCACAGAGCCAUUAGAGCCACCCACUAGCACAGAGCCAUUAGAGCCACCCACUAGCACAGAGCCAUUAGAGCCACCCACUAGCACAGAGCCCUCCCUCCCCUUGUCGCUGGUCACAUCAGUAUUAUCUAAUUUAUCUUAUUUUACUUUAUAAUUAUUUUUGUUUCCCUCUUCUGGCGAUGACGUCAUCGUGUCAACAGAUGACGUCAGUUUCUUGUUUGUUUUGGCCACAUUCCUUUAUUUUUUACUUCGAUAAUUGAAAACUUAUUUUUAUUUACACUUCUAGGAUUCCAUUUUCGGUUUAUCUGUCUAGGUAUUAUUAUUUUUUGUAAUGUCAAGGUAAAUUUUUUUCAUUUUUUUUUUCGUAUUGUUUCGGUUUUGUGAAUUAUUUGUCUUAAAAUUAAUAUAUAUAACUUUCUCGGUCUGUCAUAGGGUUAGUUUGUGCCAUAUUUAGAGAAUCUUUCACCUGUCAGUAUUUGGGCCGAAAGAGAGGCUAGUUUGACCUGACAGACACACACACACUGGAAAGAAAAACAAGAAGUCGUGGUGGGUUUUUUUUUUGUCCUUUUUUUUUUCUAAACCAACUUCCUCUCCCAGUGUCAUGUCUUCGCUUUAGGGUCAAAUGCAUAAUCUCUCUCUUCUUUCUUGUUGAUUUCCUUCAUAUUUUUUUGUUCUUCAUUUCUUCAUUAAGGAGCAUUAGUGUUCUGGGCUUUAAUUAUCAGUUUAAAGUGGGCUUCGGGCUCUCAUAUUUAGGUUUUUCAGGCUCAUUGUAUGUUGUCUUUGGGGUUCAUCAUGGUGUUAAGUCACAGGGCCUACCAUAGUGUGUGGGCUGGAGGUUACCAUAGUGUGUGUGUGUGUAUGGGGGCUGAAGCCUUACAUAGUGUGUGUGUGGGCCGAAGUCUACCAUAAUGUGUGGGCUGAAGCUUACCAUAGUGUGUGGGCUGAAGCCUCCCUUUAGACCUCCCAUGAUGUUGUCACCUAGGGCUUCAUAUGUAAACUUCGGGCUUUUCAUAAUACAGGCUUCAGCUUCUCCAUGUUGUAGUAGCUGAAGCCUCUUUUUCAUAAUAAAACCAAAGAUAGCGACUAAAAUGCACUCCAGCAAGACGGUACAACAAGUGGUGGCGACCGUCAGGGCUGCAUUUUGGACCAGUUCUGCCUUGUAUAUAGUGUACAUAAGAUAGUUUAUAUUUGUAUAUGUAACGAUAGAUUAUAACUGAUAUGAACUUUUAUCCCAAAUUUGUACAAUCAAUGGUUAUGCCGACACUCUACAAAAGCCCCAUCUCUGCACCAAAUAACUUGAUUCCUUAAACUUUUUUUUAAUGAUUCUGAUUGUUUAUUUUUUAUGUGAAAAUCUAUUUCUUGGACGAGCAGUUGUGAAGGUCUGUUGGAAAUAGAUCAACACUGCACACUAAGAAUUAUUACAUUGAUAUCCAGUGUUGUGUGACGUCGGCCUUCAGGUCCUACUCCAGUAAGGUUAUUUUAUCUUUGUUGUGAAUAUGAAAACCGCGUGUAAUGGCGCAGGACCUGAGGGUGGGCGUGACACCCCACAACAGCUGUGGUAGUAGGCUGGCCUCCAGCACGUGGCUCUGUACCACGUCAUUGACCAGAAGGUGGAUGCGACAGGGUAAGGCUGACCAACGCGUGCUGCUUUGUAGACUCCAGCCAAGAUCUUGGCUACAUGGACAGAAUGGUUAGGUGGACAGGUAAUUGGCUGACUGACUGACUGUAAUCUUAGUGAAUAGAUACUCGUCCUGAGUGGAUAGGCUCGGCUGAGUAUCUAUUUGACUGAGUGGAUAGGCAGUCAGCUGGGUGAAAAGCCACUUGGCUACAGAACUUCCUGCCGAGUGAUCAUUUGACCCGACAAAACCUCCUUAGCUGAGAGCUCAACUUGGCCCUUGAGGAGUUAGACUGCCACAUGACUCUACCCUUGGCUGAGUGGUCCUAUGACUUCCUGGGUAGAGCGUCACACACUUAGUUAAGUUCUCGGACACUCCUAGAGUGUCAAGACACUCGGCUUGGGUGCCAGACACUCGGCUAGGUGUCAGACACUCGGCUAGGUGUCAGACACUCAGCGAGAGUGCCAGACUACUUGGCUAGGGCGUCAGACACUCACCUGAGGCGCCAGACACUCGGCCAAGGUGACUGACAGACACUCGACAGGGUGGACAAUACCACCUGCCACUCGCUGCUUGCUGCCUCCCUCGCUCAGAGCUAAUGUGUAAAAAAACAUCUGUGUUCUGUACUCUUGAAUUGGGGUCAUCCCGUUGUUAAUCGUAUGCACAGUUUUUAUUGUCAUUAAGGUAGUGAAAUGAAAUGAUCUUUACUUGUAAAAACAAAAAAACAAAAACAAUGACUGUACCGAAUGCUGAUUUUUAUUAAUGUUGUUUACAAAUCAUUGUGAAGCCGAAUCCUUUUUUAGUGUCGUUAGUGAAGACCGAGACAAUUUUCCUUGGCGUUGCUUUACCCGAGUGACCGAAACGCUUGUACCUGCUCUGUCAAUGUGAACCUCGGAGACUCCGCCACGAGAUGGGGUUUAUUUCUUUUCUAGAACCCCCCUUUCCCUUUCCCUUUCCCCACUAAAAAAAAAAAAAAAAAAAAAAUGAAAUGGGAGGGAAAAAUCAACACACAAACGCCCAUCUCGUGACCAGUCUGUAGAGGUGUUCUAUACGGCACAAAAGGGAAUCUAAUUGACCAUUUAGUUUAAUGAUAAUAAUAAUAAUAUAAUAAUAAUAAUAAUUAUACAGUUUUGAAACAAACCCGCGUGUAACAAUGCUUUUUAUUGAUGGUGCAAACAUACACAUACACACAAAAAAAAAACAGAGUAAUCUUUUACGUAGGAUUCAAUCAGUCGCUCGAUCCUCUGCUGGCGAUAGUCACUUGUUUCUUAUAAACGAUCCAGCAACCUAUACUAAACUUGAGGGACAGCGGUGGAGGACUUGUGCACUUUCUACUACACAUUGUUUCAUCUAUAUUUAUUAGAGUUCCAUUGGCGUGAGGACAGAAAUCUUUGUACAUGUAGAGUUGAAUAAAUGUAUUUAUCUUCGUC